ACAGCUUUGCCUUGUAAGGAUCCAUUAUUGGGGAUUAGGGCUUGUAAGAACGUGAGGAUAGGUAGAGGAUUCUGACCAUAGGAUUCACAGGCAUCCAUCUUUGCAGUUCUUAAAAGAAAUCAUUCAGUUAGCAUCUUUUUUCCUCCAGGGUUCUCUGAGCCUCAUCGGCUCACCAUCGGUCUCACCUAUGUCCUCUCAUUUUGCAUUCUCUCAGUCCUUGAGGUCAUUCUUCUUGCCAAGAGAUUCCUGUCCCUGUUGUGUCCCCCUUGUUUGUCCUGUCCUGUGUCACGGGUGUCUGCACGUAUUUGUGCCGGAGCUGCUCUGCCCUGCUGCAUAGUCUGGUGUAAUAGGACACAUCCUGGGGGCUUGAAAUUUGUAGUGUGGGGUGUAGUUGGAUUAUAGAUAGUAUUCCUAGGUUGACCCAAGCUGUCUGGAGGUGUGAAGUGGUCCUGCAGCCCUUUGACCUUUGUCCUAACUUUCUUUCAGAUGCAGAUGGAUAAAAUCCAUGACAGAGCAGCCCAUCGCAGGAAGUAAAGCCAUAUAGCAACAGUCAAGUUGAAGUGGUCAAGGCAAUCUACUCAGGUUAUGGCAAGCCCCUGUCACCAACCGGCCAAUGGACCAGGUUUGCUGCUCUCACGAGCCCUGUGGAGGUAUUGCAGGACCCUGUGAUGAAGCCUUGAAAUUUUCUAUUUAAAAGUCGCUUCUGGGUAGCCCUCAGGAAUGGCCGAGGAGUCGUGGUGAGUCGGGGAGGUAUCGAGGAGAAGCCGGGGUCCACUCAAUUCUCAGGUGUGCUACAUCACCUCGCCUCCUCUUUACCCAGGCGUACCCUGCGAUGACUGCAUCGGUCUCAGAGCAUGGCCGAAGCGUGCGGCCCGAGGACCCGGUCACUCUUAGGAGGCGACUAGGAGACAGCAGCCUGGUGACAGCAGGAACCUCCCAGACAGCCUGGUGGUCUUCCUUUGCACCUGAUGUGGAUUCUCAUUCCUGGAGAGCCAAGAGAUAAGUUGAGGGCUGUGACUUACAGAGGGGAUGGAAGGGGGCUGCUGUGUCGGGACUCACCAGGUGGGAUUUUUGAGUCAGCUUUGGAGCUGAGGAUAUCCAGGAAAUGUUGUCUUGAGCCCACACAAAAGCAAAGUGUCGCUUUUGAUCCCAGUGCUGAGGUGCGCAGGGCAGAGCAGUCCCGGCGUGUGUUGUGUCACGUGGCUAUUGUGCAUUAUGUGUUGUUUAAUGUCUUUUCCCUUAGCCCUUUGAGGGGCCUAACAGAAACCCUGGCAUCAUUCUUAGCAUCUGUGAUCUCUGCAUUUCUUGGCCUGGCACCAAUGCCACAGGACUUUUGACUCAGGAGCUCAGACAGGCAUCAGAAUUGCAUUUCUCUUUAGGAGCAUCCAGUCAGAUGUCUUUGCAGGUCUUGUUCUGAGCUGUAUGUACCUUGCAAGGAUCCAUUAUGGCAGAUUAGGGCUUGUAAGAAUGCAAGGAUAGGUAGAGGAUGCUGACUGUAGGAGUCUCAGACAUCCGUCUUUGUAGAUCUUGGAAUAAACUGUUCUCUUAUCAGAUUCUUCCUCCAGGGUUCUCUGAGCCUCAUCAGCUUGCCAUCAGUCUCAUCUCGGUCAUCUAAUCUUCCGUUCUCUCAGUCCUUGCAGUCAUUCUUCUUGCCAAGAGAUUCCUGUCCCUGUUGUGUCCCCCUUGUUUGUCAUGUCAUGUCCUGUGUCACGGGUGUCUGCACAUAUUUGUGCCGGAGCUGCUCUGCCCUGCUGCAUAGCCUGGUGUAAUAGGACAAAUCCUGGGGGCUUGAAAUUUGUAGUCUGGGCUGUAGUUGGACUCUAGAUGAUAUUCCUAGGCUGACCCAGAUGUCUGGAGCUGUGAAGUUGUCCUGCAGCCCUUUUACAUUUUUCCUGACUUUCUUUCAGAUGCAGAUGGAUAAAAUCCAUGGCAGAGCGCCCCAUCCCAGGAAGUAAAGUGAUAGAGCAACAGUCAAGUUGAAGUGGUCAAGGCAAUCUACUCAGGUUAUGCCAAGCCCCUGUCACCAACCAGCCGAUUGACCAGGUUUGCUGCUCUCAUGAGCCCUGUGGAGGUAUUGCAGGACCCUGUGAUGAAGCCUUGAAAUUUUCUAUUUAAAGGUUGCUUCUGGGUAGCCCUCAGGAAUGGGCAACGAGCCGUGGUGAGUUGGGGGGUAUCGAGGAGGAGCUGGGGUCCGCUCAGUUCUCAGCUAUCCUACAUCACCUCGUCUCCUCUUUACCCAGGCGUACCCUGUGACGACAGCGUCGGUCUCAGAGCACGGCCGAAGCGUGCGGGCCGAGGACCCGGUCAUUCUUAGGAGGCGUUGAGUAGCAGAAUUUUCGGGUUUUGGUCGAUAUGCUGCUAAGAUGAUGCACUGAUGUCUGGUUUCCUUUAUCUUGACAGACUAGGAGACAGCAGCCUGGUGACAGCAGGAACCUCCCAGACAGCCUGGUGGCCUUGCUUUGCACCUGAUGUGGAUUCUCAUUCCUGGAGAGCCAAGAGAUAAGUUGAGGGCUGUGACUUACAGAGGGGAUGGAAGGGGGUUGCUGUGUCAGGACUCACCAGGAGGGAUUUUUGAGUCAGCUUUGGAGCUGAGGAUAUCCAGGAAAUGUUGUCUUGAGCCCACACAAAAGUGAAGUGUCACUUUUGAUCCCAGUGCUGAGCUGAGCAGAGGAGGGCAGUCCCGGUGUGUUUUGUCAUGUGGCUAUUGUGCAUUGUGUUGUGUGGCUGUCUCAUGUCUUUUACCUUAGCCCUUUGAGGGGCCUAUCAGAAACCCUGGCAUCAUUCUUAGCAUCUGUGAUCUCUGCAUUUCUUGGCCUGGCACCAAUGCCACAGGACUUUUGACACAGGAGCUUGGACAGGCAUUGGAAUUGAAUUUCUCUUUAGGAGCAUCCAGUCAGAUAUCUUUGCAGGUCUUGUUCUGAGCUGUAUGUACUGCUGUGCAUCGCAAGGAUCCAUUAUGGCAGAUUAGGGCUCGUAAGAAUGCAAGGAUAGGCAGAGGAUUCUGCCCAUAGGAUUCUCGGACAUCCAUCUUUGUAGAUCUUGGAAUAAACUGUUCUCUUAUCAGAUUCUUCCUCCAGGGUUCUCUGAGCCUCAUCGGUCUCACCUCGGUCAUCUAAUCUUGCGUUCUCUCAGUCCUUGCAGUCAUUUUUGCCAAGAGAUUUCUGUCCUUGUUGUGUCCCCCUUGUUUGUCAUGUCGUGUCCUGUGUCACGGGUGUCUGCACAUAUUUUUGCCGGAACUGCUCUGCCCUGCUGCAUAGCCUGGUGUAAUAGGACAAAUCCUGGGGGCUUGAAAUUUGUAGUGUGGGGUGUUGUUGGAUUAUAGAUGGGAUUUGUAGAUGGACCCAAGAUGUCUGGAGCUGUGAAGUUAUCCUGCAGCCCUUUGACGUUUGUCCUCACUUUCUUUUAGAUGCAGGUGGAUAAAAUCCAUGGCAGAGCAGCCCAUCGCAGGUGCGUGGGUUGCCCUGAGCAGGAAGUAAAGCCACAUAUCAGAAGUCAAGGCGAGGUGGUCAAGGCAAUCCAUUUGGAGUAUGCAUAACUCCCCAUCACACACUGGCCGAUGGACUGUGAUCAUUGCUCUCGUGAGCCCUGUGGAAGUAUUACAGGACUUGGUGAUGAAGCCUCUGCCUUUCCUAUUUAAAGGUGUCACCCGGGUAGCCUUUGGCCGCGGCUGAGGAGUUGCAGCGGACCCUGCGAUGACGGCGUCAGCCUCCGAGCGCAGCCGAAGCGUGCGGCAUUCAUAAGGGACCCAAGCAUUGCUAGGGGAAGGCUGACUAAGAGACAACAGCCCGGUGACAGCAGGAACUUCCCAGACGGCGCGGCGGCCUUCUUUUGCAUCUGACACGGAUUGGCAUCUGCAGAUAAGUCGAUGGCUGUGACCCACAGAGGGGAUGAUAGUGGGGUGCUGGGUUGGGACUCACAGGGAGGGAUUUUUGAGUCUGCUUUGGAGUUGGGGAUGUCCAAGAAGUGGCCCCUUAGGCCACACAAAAGCCAAGCGUCACUUUUGAUCACAAUGCUGAGGUGCUCAGGGCAGAGCAGUCCCGGAGGGUAUCGUGUCAGUUGUCUACUGUGCGUUCUGUGUUUUUGGCUUUCUCAUGUCUUUUACCUUAGCCCUUUGAGGGGCCUAUCAGAAACCCUGGCAUCAUUCUUAGCAUCUGCGAUCUCUGCAUUUCUUGGCCUGGCACCAAUGCCACAGGACUUUUGACUCAGGAGCUCAGACAGUCAUCAGAAUUGCAUUUCUCUUUAGGAGCAUCCAGUCAGACGUCUUUGAAGGUCUUGUUCUGAGCUGUAUUUACCUUGCAAGGAUCCAUUAUGGCAGAUUAGGGCUUGUAAGAAUGCAAAGAUAGGUAGAGGAUGCUGACCGUAGGAUUCUCAGACAUCCAUCUUUGUAGUUCUUGGAAUAAACCAUUGUCUUAGCAGGUUAUUCCUCCAGGGUUCUGGGAGCCUUAUCAGCUCGCCAUCAGUCUCAUCUCGGUCAUCUAAUCUUCCGUUCUCUCAGUCCUUGCAGUCAUUCUUCUUGCCAAGAGAUUCCUGUUGUGUCCCCCUUGUUUGUCAUGUCGUGUCCUGUGUCACGGGUGUCUGCACAUAUUUGUGCCGGAGCUGCUCUGCCCUGCUGCAUAGCCUGGUGUAAUAGGACAAAUCCUGGGGGCUUGAAAUUUGUAGUGUGGGGUGUAGUUGGAUUAUAGAUGGGAUUUGUAGAUGGACACAGGGUGCCUGGAGCAGUGAAAUUAUCCUGCAGCCCUUUGACAUUUGUCCUGACUUUCUUUCAGAUGCAGGCAGAUAAAAUCUGUGGCAGAGCACCCCAUCCUGGCUGAGGGGGUUCCUCCGAGCAGGAAGUAAAGCUGGAUAUCAGCAGUCAAGGCAAUCCAUUUGGAGUAGGCCGAGCCCCCCCACCCCCCAACCGGCCAAUGGAUCUGGUUUGCUGCUCUUGCGAGCCCUGUGGAGGUUUUGCAGGACUCUGCGAUGAAGCCCUGAACCUUUCUGUUUAAAGGUGCCAUCCGGCUGGCCUUUGGCAGCUGCCGAGGAGUUGCGGCACACCCUGCCACAAUGGCAUCGGCCUCCAAGCGUUGCUGAAGCUAAUGGCAUUAGGAGAUGCUAUGAGGCAGCAGCCCAGUGACAGCGAGAACUUCCCAGAUGGCAAGGCGGCCUUCUUUUGCACCUGAUGCAGAUUGGCAUCCCCAGAUGUCUGAGAGAUAAGUCAAGGGCUACAACUUGCCGAGGGGGUGAAUGUGGGGUGCUGGGUUGGGACUCACCGGGAGGGGUUUUUGAGUCUGCUUUGGGGCUGAGGCUAUCCAAGUAGUGUCCCCUUAGGCCACAUAAAGGGAAAGUGUCACUUUUGAUCCCAGUGCUGAGGUGCGCAGGGUAGAGCAGUCCCAGUGUGUAUCGUGUCACUUGUCUAACGUACCUGGUGUUGUUUAUAUGUCUCAUGUCAUGCAUCGUCUACCUUAGCCCUUUGAGGGGCCCAUCAGAAACCCUGGCAUCAUUCUUAGCAUCUGUGAUCUCUGCAUUUCUUGGCCUGGCACAAAUGCAGUAGGACUUUUGGCUCAGGAGCUCAGACAGGCAUCAGAAUUGCAUUUCUGUUUAGGAGCUUCCAGUCAGAUGUCUUUGCAGGUCUUGUUCUGAGCUGUAUGUACCUUGCAAGGAUCCAUUAUGGCAGAUUAGGGCUUGUAAGAAUGCAAGGAUAGGUAGAGGAUGCUGACUGUAGGAGUCUCAGACAUCCGUCUUUGUAGAUCUUGGAAUAAACUGUUCUCUUAUCAGAUUCUUCCUCCAGGGUUCUCUGAGCCUCAUCAGCUUGCCAUCAGUCUCAUCUCGGUCAUCUAAUCUUCCGUUCUCUCAGUCCUUGCAGUCAUUCUUCUUGCCAAGAGAUUCCUGUCCCUGUUGUGUCCCCCUUGUUUGUCAUGUCAUGUCCUGUGUCACGGGUGUCUGCACAUAUUUGUGCCGGAGCUGCUCUGCCCUGCUGCAUAGCCUGGUGUAAUAGGACAAAUCCUGGGGGCUUGAAAUUUGUAGUCUGGGCUGUAGUUGGACUCUAGAUGAUAUUCCUAGGCUGACCCAGAUGUCUGGAGCUGUGAAGUUGUCCUGCAGCCCUUUUACAUUUUUCCUGACUUUCUUUCAGAUGCAGAUGGAUAAAAUCCAUGGCAGAGCGCCCCAUCCCAGGAAGUAAAGUGAUAGAGCAACAGUCAAGUUGAAGUGGUCAAGGCAAUCUACUCAGGUUAUGCCAAGCCCCUGUCACCAACCAGCCGAUUGACCAGGUUUGCUGCUCUCAUGAGCCCUGUGGAGGUAUUGCAGGACCCUGUGAUGAAGCCUUGAAAUUUUCUAUUUAAAGGUUGCUUCUGGGUAGCCCUCAGGAAUGGGCAACGAGCCGUGGUGAGUUGGGGGGUAUCGAGGAGGAGCUGGGGUCCGCUCAGUUCUCAGCUAUCCUACAUCACCUCGUCUCCUCUUUACCCAGGCGUACCCUGUGACGACAGCGUCGGUCUCAGAGCACGGCCGAAGCGUGCGGGCCGAGGACCCGGUCAUUCUUAGGAGGCGUUGAGUAGCAGAAUUUUCGGGUUUUGGUCGAUAUGCUGCUAAGAUGAUGCACUGAUGUCUGGUUUCCUUUAUCUUGACAGACUAGGAGACAGCAGCCUGGUGACAGCAGGAACCUCCCAGACAGCCUGGUGGCCUUGCUUUGCACCUGAUGUGGAUUCUCAUUCCUGGAGAGCCAAGAGAUAAGUUGAGGGCUGUGACUUACAGAGGGGAUGGAAGGGGGUUGCUGUGUCAGGACUCACCAGGAGGGAUUUUUGAGUCAGCUUUGGAGCUGAGGAUAUCCAGGAAAUGUUGUCUUGAGCCCACACAAAAGUGAAGUGUCACUUUUGAUCCCAGUGCUGAGCUGAGCAGAGGAGGGCAGUCCCGGUGUGUUUUGUCAUGUGGCUAUUGUGCAUUGUGUUGUGUGGCUGUCUCAUGUCUUUUACCUUAGCCCUUUGAGGGGCCUAUCAGAAACCCUGGCAUCAUUCUUAGCAUCUGUGAUCUCUGCAUUUCUUGGCCUGGCACCAAUGCCACAGGACUUUUGACACAGGAGCUUGGACAGGCAUUGGAAUUGAAUUUCUCUUUAGGAGCAUCCAGUCAGAUAUCUUUGCAGGUCUUGUUCUGAGCUGUAUGUACUGCUGUGCAUCGCAAGGAUCCAUUAUGGCAGAUUAGGGCUCGUAAGAAUGCAAGGAUAGGCAGAGGAUUCUGCCCAUAGGAUUCUCGGACAUCCAUCUUUGUAGAUCUUGGAAUAAACUGUUCUCUUAUCAGAUUCUUCCUCCAGGGUUCUCUGAGCCUCAUCGGUCUCACCUCGGUCAUCUAAUCUUGCGUUCUCUCAGUCCUUGCAGUCAUUUUUGCCAAGAGAUUUCUGUCCUUGUUGUGUCCCCCUUGUUUGUCAUGUCGUGUCCUGUGUCACGGGUGUCUGCACAUAUUUUUGCCGGAACUGCUCUGCCCUGCUGCAUAGCCUGGUGUAAUAGGACAAAUCCUGGGGGCUUGAAAUUUGUAGUGUGGGGUGUUGUUGGAUUAUAGAUGGGAUUUGUAGAUGGACCCAAGAUGUCUGGAGCUGUGAAGUUAUCCUGCAGCCCUUUGACGUUUGUCCUCACUUUCUUUUAGAUGCAGGUGGAUAAAAUCCAUGGCAGAGCAGCCCAUCGCAGGAAGUAAAGCCACAUAUCAGAAGUCAAGGCGAGGUGGUCAAGGCAAUCCAUUUGGAGUAUGCAUAACUCCCCAUCACACACUGGCCGAUGGACUGUGAUCAUUGCUCUCGUGAGCCCUGUGGAAGUAUUACAGGACUUGGUGAUGAAGCCUCUGCCUUUCCUAUUUAAAGGUGUCACCCGGGUAGCCUUUGGCCGCGGCUGAGGAGUUGCAGCGGACCCUGCGAUGACGGCGUCAGCCUCCGAGCGCAGCCGAAGCGUGCGGCAUUCAUAAGGGACCCAAGCAUUGCUAGGGGAAGGCUGACUAAGAGACAACAGCCCGGUGACAGCAGGAACUUCCCAGACGGCGCGGCGGCCUUCUUUUGCAUCUGACACGGAUUGGCAUCUGCAGAUAAGUCGAUGGCUGUGACCCACAGAGGGGAUGAUAGUGGGGUGCUGGGUUGGGACUCACAGGGAGGGAUUUUUGAGUCUGCUUUGGAGUUGGGGAUGUCCAAGAAGUGGCCCCUUAGGCCACACAAAAGCCAAGCGUCACUUUUGAUCACAAUGCUGAGGUGCUCAGGGCAGAGCAGUCCCGGAGGGUAUCGUGUCAGUUGUCUACUGUGCGUUCUGUGUUUUUGGCUUUCUCAUGUCUUUUACCUUAGCCCUUUGAGGGGCCUAUCAGAAACCCUGGCAUCAUUCUUAGCAUCUGCGAUCUCUGCAUUUCUUGGCCUGGCACCAAUGCCACAGGACUUUUGACUCAGGAGCUCAGACAGUCAUCAGAAUUGCAUUUCUCUUUAGGAGCAUCCAGUCAGACGUCUUUGAAGGUCUUGUUCUGAGCUGUAUUUACCUUGCAAGGAUCCAUUAUGGCAGAUUAGGGCUUGUAAGAAUGCAAAGAUAGGUAGAGGAUGCUGACCGUAGGAUUCUCAGACAUCCAUCUUUGUAGUUCUUGGAAUAAACCAUUGUCUUAGCAGGUUAUUCCUCCAGGGUUCUGGGAGCCUUAUCAGCUCGCCAUCAGUCUCAUCUCGGUCAUCUAAUCUUCCGUUCUCUCAGUCCUUGCAGUCAUUCUUCUUGCCAAGAGAUUCCUGUUGUGUCCCCCUUGUUUGUCAUGUCGUGUCCUGUGUCACGGGUGUCUGCACAUAUUUGUGCCGGAGCUGCUCUGCCCUGCUGCAUAGCCUGGUGUAAUAGGACAAAUCCUGGGGGCUUGAAAUUUGUAGUGUGGGGUGUAGUUGGAUUAUAGAUGGGAUUUGUAGAUGGACACAGGGUGCCUGGAGCAGUGAAAUUAUCCUGCAGCCCUUUGACAUUUGUCCUGACUUUCUUUCAGAUGCAGGCAGAUAAAAUCUGUGGCAGAGCACCCCAUCCUGGCUGAGGGGGUUCCUCCGAGCAGGAAGUAAAGCUGGAUAUCAGCAGUCAAGGCAAUCCAUUUGGAGUAGGCCGAGCCCCCCCACCCCCCAACCGGCCAAUGGAUCUGGUUUGCUGCUCUUGCGAGCCCUGUGGAGGUUUUGCAGGACUCUGCGAUGAAGCCCUGAACCUUUCUGUUUAAAGGUGCCAUCCGGCUGGCCUUUGGCAGCUGCCGAGGAGUUGCGGCACACCCUGCCACAAUGGCAUCGGCCUCCAAGCGUUGCUGAAGCUAAUGGCAUUAGGAGAUGCUAUGAGGCAGCAGCCCAGUGACAGCGAGAACUUCCCAGAUGGCAAGGCGGCCUUCUUUUGCACCUGAUGCAGAUUGGCAUCCCCAGAUGUCUGAGAGAUAAGUCAAGGGCUACAACUUGCCGAGGGGGUGAAUGUGGGGUGCUGGGUUGGGACUCACCGGGAGGGGUUUUUGAGUCUGCUUUGGGGCUGAGGCUAUCCAAGUAGUGUCCCCUUAGGCCACAUAAAGGGAAAGUGUCACUUUUGAUCCCAGUGCUGAGGUGCGCAGGGUAGAGCAGUCCCAGUGUGUAUCGUGUCACUUGUCUAACGUACCUGGUGUUGUUUAUAUGUCUCAUGUCAUGCAUCGUCUACCUUAGCCCUUUGAGGGGCCCAUCAGAAACCCUGGCAUCAUUCUUAGCAUCUGUGAUCUCUGCAUUUCUUGGCCUGGCACAAAUGCAGUAGGACUUUUGGCUCAGGAGCUCAGACAGGCAUCAGAAUUGCAUUUCUGUUUAGGAGCUUCCAGUCAGAUGUCUUUGCAGGUCUUGUUCUGAGCUGUAUGUACCUUGCAAGGAUCCAUUAUGGCAGAUUAGGGCUUGUAAGAAUGCAAGGAUAGGUAGAGGAUGCUGACUGUAGGAGUCUCAGACAUCCGUCUUUGUAGAUCUUGGAAUAAACUGUUCUCUUAUCAGAUUCUUCCUCCAGGGUUCUCUGAGCCUCAUCAGCUUGCCAUCAGUCUCAUCUCGGUCAUCUAAUCUUCCGUUCUCUCAGUCCUUGCAGUCAUUCUUCUUGCCAAGAGAUUCCUGUCCCUGUUGUGUCCCCCUUGUUUGUCAUGUCAUGUCCUGUGUCACGGGUGUCUGCACAUAUUUGUGCCGGAGCUGCUCUGCCCUGCUGCAUAGCCUGGUGUAAUAGGACAAAUCCUGGGGGCUUGAAAUUUGUAGUCUGGGCUGUAGUUGGACUCUAGAUGAUAUUCCUAGGCUGACCCAGAUGUCUGGAGCUGUGAAGUUGUCCUGCAGCCCUUUUACAUUUUUCCUGACUUUCUUUCAGAUGCAGAUGGAUAAAAUCCAUGGCAGAGCGCCCCAUCCCAGGAAGUAAAGUGAUAGAGCAACAGUCAAGUUGAAGUGGUCAAGGCAAUCUACUCAGGUUAUGCCAAGCCCCUGUCACCAACCAGCCGAUUGACCAGGUUUGCUGCUCUCAUGAGCCCUGUGGAGGUAUUGCAGGACCCUGUGAUGAAGCCUUGAAAUUUUCUAUUUAAAGGUUGCUUCUGGGUAGCCCUCAGGAAUGGGCAACGAGCCGUGGUGAGUUGGGGGGUAUCGAGGAGGAGCUGGGGUCCGCUCAGUUCUCAGCUAUCCUACAUCACCUCGUCUCCUCUUUACCCAGGCGUACCCUGUGACGACAGCGUCGGUCUCAGAGCACGGCCGAAGCGUGCGGGCCGAGGACCCGGUCAUUCUUAGGAGGCGUUGAGUAGCAGAAUUUUCGGGUUUUGGUCGAUAUGCUGCUAAGAUGAUGCACUGAUGUCUGGUUUCCUUUAUCUUGACAGACUAGGAGACAGCAGCCUGGUGACAGCAGGAACCUCCCAGACAGCCUGGUGGCCUUGCUUUGCACCUGAUGUGGAUUCUCAUUCCUGGAGAGCCAAGAGAUAAGUUGAGGGCUGUGACUUACAGAGGGGAUGGAAGGGGGUUGCUGUGUCAGGACUCACCAGGAGGGAUUUUUGAGUCAGCUUUGGAGCUGAGGAUAUCCAGGAAAUGUUGUCUUGAGCCCACACAAAAGUGAAGUGUCACUUUUGAUCCCAGUGCUGAGCUGAGCAGAGGAGGGCAGUCCCGGUGUGUUUUGUCAUGUGGCUAUUGUGCAUUGUGUUGUGUGGCUGUCUCAUGUCUUUUACCUUAGCCCUUUGAGGGGCCUAUCAGAAACCCUGGCAUCAUUCUUAGCAUCUGUGAUCUCUGCAUUUCUUGGCCUGGCACCAAUGCCACAGGACUUUUGACACAGGAGCUUGGACAGGCAUUGGAAUUGAAUUUCUCUUUAGGAGCAUCCAGUCAGAUAUCUUUGCAGGUCUUGUUCUGAGCUGUAUGUACUGCUGUGCAUCGCAAGGAUCCAUUAUGGCAGAUUAGGGCUCGUAAGAAUGCAAGGAUAGGCAGAGGAUUCUGCCCAUAGGAUUCUCGGACAUCCAUCUUUGUAGAUCUUGGAAUAAACUGUUCUCUUAUCAGAUUCUUCCUCCAGGGUUCUCUGAGCCUCAUCGGUCUCACCUCGGUCAUCUAAUCUUGCGUUCUCUCAGUCCUUGCAGUCAUUUUUGCCAAGAGAUUUCUGUCCUUGUUGUGUCCCCCUUGUUUGUCAUGUCGUGUCCUGUGUCACGGGUGUCUGCACAUAUUUUUGCCGGAACUGCUCUGCCCUGCUGCAUAGCCUGGUGUAAUAGGACAAAUCCUGGGGGCUUGAAAUUUGUAGUGUGGGGUGUUGUUGGAUUAUAGAUGGGAUUUGUAGAUGGACCCAAGAUGUCUGGAGCUGUGAAGUUAUCCUGCAGCCCUUUGACGUUUGUCCUCACUUUCUUUUAGAUGCAGGUGGAUAAAAUCCAUGGCAGAGCAGCCCAUCGCAGGUGCGUGGGUUGCCCUGAGCAGGAAGUAAAGCCACAUAUCAGAAGUCAAGGCGAGGUGGUCAAGGCAAUCCAUUUGGAGUAUGCAUAACUCCCCAUCACACACUGGCCGAUGGACUGUGAUCAUUGCUCUCGUGAGCCCUGUGGAAGUAUUACAGGACUUGGUGAUGAAGCCUCUGCCUUUCCUAUUUAAAGGUGUCACCCGGGUAGCCUUUGGCCGCGGCUGAGGAGUUGCAGCGGACCCUGCGAUGACGGCGUCAGCCUCCGAGCGCAGCCGAAGCGUGCGGCAUUCAUAAGGGACCCAAGCAUUGCUAGGGGAAGGCUGACUAAGAGACAACAGCCCGGUGACAGCAGGAACUUCCCAGACGGCGCGGCGGCCUUCUUUUGCAUCUGACACGGAUUGGCAUCUGCAGAUAAGUCGAUGGCUGUGACCCACAGAGGGGAUGAUAGUGGGGUGCUGGGUUGGGACUCACAGGGAGGGAUUUUUGAGUCUGCUUUGGAGUUGGGGAUGUCCAAGAAGUGGCCCCUUAGGCCACACAAAAGCCAAGCGUCACUUUUGAUCACAAUGCUGAGGUGCUCAGGGCAGAGCAGUCCCGGAGGGUAUCGUGUCAGUUGUCUACUGUGCGUUCUGUGUUUUUGGCUUUCUCAUGUCUUUUACCUUAGCCCUUUGAGGGGCCUAUCAGAAACCCUGGCAUCAUUCUUAGCAUCUGCGAUCUCUGCAUUUCUUGGCCUGGCACCAAUGCCACAGGACUUUUGACUCAGGAGCUCAGACAGUCAUCAGAAUUGCAUUUCUCUUUAGGAGCAUCCAGUCAGACGUCUUUGAAGGUCUUGUUCUGAGCUGUAUUUACCUUGCAAGGAUCCAUUAUGGCAGAUUAGGGCUUGUAAGAAUGCAAAGAUAGGUAGAGGAUGCUGACCGUAGGAUUCUCAGACAUCCAUCUUUGUAGUUCUUGGAAUAAACCAUUGUCUUAGCAGGUUAUUCCUCCAGGGUUCUGGGAGCCUUAUCAGCUCGCCAUCAGUCUCAUCUCGGUCAUCUAAUCUUCCGUUCUCUCAGUCCUUGCAGUCAUUCUUCUUGCCAAGAGAUUCCUGUUGUGUCCCCCUUGUUUGUCAUGUCGUGUCCUGUGUCACGGGUGUCUGCACAUAUUUGUGCCGGAGCUGCUCUGCCCUGCUGCAUAGCCUGGUGUAAUAGGACAAAUCCUGGGGGCUUGAAAUUUGUAGUGUGGGGUGUAGUUGGAUUAUAGAUGGGAUUUGUAGAUGGACACAGGGUGCCUGGAGCAGUGAAAUUAUCCUGCAGCCCUUUGACAUUUGUCCUGACUUUCUUUCAGAUGCAGGCAGAUAAAAUCUGUGGCAGAGCACCCCAUCCUGGCUGAGGGGGUUCCUCCGAGCAGGAAGUAAAGCUGGAUAUCAGCAGUCAAGGCAAUCCAUUUGGAGUAGGCCGAGCCCCCCCACCCCCCAACCGGCCAAUGGAUCUGGUUUGCUGCUCUUGCGAGCCCUGUGGAGGUUUUGCAGGACUCUGCGAUGAAGCCCUGAACCUUUCUGUUUAAAGGUGCCAUCCGGCUGGCCUUUGGCAGCUGCCGAGGAGUUGCGGCACACCCUGCCACAAUGGCAUCGGCCUCCAAGCGUUGCUGAAGCUAAUGGCAUUAGGAGAUGCUAUGAGGCAGCAGCCCAGUGACAGCGAGAACUUCCCAGAUGGCAAGGCGGCCUUCUUUUGCACCUGAUGCAGAUUGGCAUCCCCAGAUGUCUGAGAGAUAAGUCAAGGGCUACAACUUGCCGAGGGGGUGAAUGUGGGGUGCUGGGUUGGGACUCACCGGGAGGGGUUUUUGAGUCUGCUUUGGGGCUGAGGCUAUCCAAGUAGUGUCCCCUUAGGCCACAUAAAGGGAAAGUGUCACUUUUGAUCCCAGUGCUGAGGUGCGCAGGGUAGAGCAGUCCCAGUGUGUAUCGUGUCACUUGUCUAACGUACCUGGUGUUGUUUAUAUGUCUCAUGUCAUGCAUCGUCUACCUUAGCCCUUUGAGGGGCCCAUCAGAAACCCUGGCAUCAUUCUUAGCAUCUGUGAUCUCUGCAUUUCUUGGCCUGGCACAAAUGCAGUAGGACUUUUGGCUCAGGAGCUCAGACAGGCAUCAGAAUUGCAUUUCUGUUUAGGAGCUUCCAGUCAGAUGUCUUUGCAGGUCUUGUUCUGAGCUGUACGUACUGCUGUGCAUCGCAAGGAUCCAUUAUGGCAGAUUAGGGCUCGUAAGAAUGCAAAGAUAGGUAGAGGAUUCUGACCGUAGGAUUCUCAGAUGUCCAUCUUUGCACUUCUUUGACAAAAUCAUUCUCUUAGGAGAUACUUCCUCCCUGGUUGUCUGAGCCUCAUCAUCUCACUGUCAAUCUCACCUCAGUCAUUUCAUUUUCCAUUCUCUCAGUCCUUGCAGUCAUUCUUCUUGUCAAGAGAUAGUAGUCCCUGUUGUGUCCUCAUUGUUUGUCCUGUCCCGUGUCACGGGCGUCCGCACACGUUUGUGUCGGAGCUGCUCUGCCCUGCCGCGUAGCCUGGUGUAGUAGGACACAUCCUGGGGGCUUGGAAUUUGUAAUGUGGGGUGUAGUUGGAUUCUAGAUGGUAUUCCUAGGUUGACUCUAGGAAGUUGUCUGGAGCUGUGAAGUUAUCCUGCUGCCCUUUGAACUUUGUCCUGACUCUGUUUCAGAUGCAGACAGAUAAAAUCCAUGGCAGAACUCCCUAUCCCAGGAAGUAAAGCCAUCUAGCAGCAGUCAAGGCAAAGUGGUCGAGGCAGUCCACUUUCAGUCCAUGCCAGCUGAGGAUGCCCGAUGCCAGGUACCUUCCAGGCAGACUCUGGAGUCAAAUCAAGAUUUGAGGUACCGCGAGGAGCUUCGUAGGCAAAGUUUGGAGAGAACGCCACCGAAGCACACGAGACCGUCUCAACGUCCACGUCCCACCGGGGAUGGAUUUUGUCAGCUCGUCAUCCAAAAGCUAAGUGUUGGGGUCCAUAGUUGG